rnacentral:rRNA from 1 species
UCGAGGAUCUUUCGCAAUGGGCGCAAGCCUGAUCCAGCCAUGCCGCGUGAGUGACGAAGGCCUUAGGGUCGUAAAGCUCUGUCGGAGGGAACGAAUGCUCCUGAAGUUAACAGCUUCAGGAAGUGACGGUACCCUCAAAGGAAGCACCGGCUAACUCUGUGCCAGCAGCCGCGGUAAUACGAAGGGAGCUAGCGUUGUUCGGAAUCACUGGGCGUAAAGCGCACGUAGGUGGGCAGUUAAGUCAGGGGUGAAAGCCCGAGGCUCAACCUCGGAAUUGCCUCUGAUACUGGCUGUCUAGAGUUCGAGAGAGGUGAGUGGAAUUCCUAGUGUAGAGGUGAAAUUCGUAGAUAUUAGGAAGAACACCGGUGGCGAAGGCGGCUCACUGGCUCGAUACUGACACUGAGGUGCGAAAGCGUGGGGAGCAAACAGGAUUAGAUACCCAAGUAGUCCCUGAGCGGGCUGGCAAGGCGCAU